rnacentral:lncRNA from 1 species
GGGAUAACUAUCACUCCUCCAUAAUUGAAUUCGGUUUUCAUUUGUUUAUUUAUUUAUUUUUUUUCCCACCUGUGGCAUUGAGUUAUUGAUAAUUGUCAAGUACUUUUCGGAUUUGUAUAAUAAUAUAAUUAUUAAUUAUUAUAUGUUGGGGAAGAAGUUGUCGGUAAGGUCAUUGUCUUAGUAACUUAAAUGAGUUUUUAAGCAAAAUAAGGACAAAUAUUUGUUGCCAGUGGUACUGAUAAUUUAUUACAACUUUCAUAUACAUGUAUCUUUCAUUGUUAUAAUAAUCGCAAGAUAUUUCACACUGCUUGUUAAUACUAUCCAAAGAGUUGUUGACUCAAAUGACUCUAAAACAGAGGUCUAAAGAUGGAUACACUACUUGAUAUAUUUAUUAAAUUUUUUUAUUUAUUAAAUUUUUAGUUUCUAUUCUAAGAUCCUAAUUGAUAAGAGUAAUAAAUCUUCAUAUUAUUGUAAAACAGUGAACUAGCAGAGUAUAAAUGAUAAAAGCAAGAUCAAUUCUUCACUACUGAUUAAUAAACAGAUAUGUAGAUUAAUUUUUUAAGUUGAAUAUUCGAAAUUUCAACUAAAUUUUUUCUUAUUUAGUUAAUUUUUUCCUGUUAAGCCAAGUGGGGGAUUAUGGUCAGUUAGUUCUUAAUUUAAACUUAGAAUCCCCCCCCCCCCCCCCUCCCCUUUCUUUAGCUUUCCUUUUUCAAGCUAACUAAAGAUGCGAAGUUUAUUUUGCCUUCUUCUGUUUUGUGGUGGUCCAGAUUUGGUUUAGGUAUAUUGAUUGAGAGUUAUAUAAUUGUAUAAUUUUUGUUUGAAGGUAUAUAAAUUAAGGACGCGUGCGAUGUAUUAACAAUAAUUUUUUGAAGUUACAUUCGUUGUUGGUCGUUGAUUGUUAAAUGAUAAAUCUUUCCCAUCAAACACUUUGCUCAGCGUCCAUGCAAUUAUACACGAACGAUGACACUUUUAUUUUAUUUUUUCUUUUUUAUUAUUAUUAUUUUUGGACCAAUUAAGUUCAUUACCCUAGUAUUUUUAGCAAGACUUCGGUUCAUACUUUGACUGGCAAAGAAUUUUCAACUCAAAUUUUAAGCCUAAAACAGAAGACCAUUAACCCAAAAGAAAGAAACAAAAUAUGUUUCAGGAAUUUGGUUAGAUAUCACAAUCAAGUUAUUAUAAAUAUAAUUUACUGGAGGGGCAACAUUAUCAGAGUCUUGAGUCAUGGAGAAAAGCUGUGUCUGAUAUUUGAUAAUUUGAAAAGCAGGUAUUAAUUCUUUCCGUCCGAGGGUAACUAAUACGGCACAGAAAUUUUAUUUUAUUUUCUUUAAAUAUUAUUAUUUAACAUUCAAACUCUUCAUCCCUGAUGACUUAAUUUUGGGCUGGUCGGUUUCUAGAUACAAACUAUAUAUGGCAUGUGUUAAUCACGGAAUAGUCUUCAUGCAAAUGGGAGACGUUCACACGGGAGCGGAGCCCACAUUAAAAUUUUAGGGACACAAUUCUAUAUCACAAAAUUUUAAAGAGUUAAAAAAAUGGACUUAAUUAUUGGGUUAAACUGUUGAAAUAUUAAACUUGCAUGAUUGCAUCGGUUAAAUUAUAAAAAAAUCUCUCUUUUAAAAGUUAAAUUUCUAAAUUUAUCAUAUAUGUAAACUAAGUUUUUUUUUUUUUCUAAGACCAGCAGCAGGUGCCAUGGCACCUAGUAGUUUUGCGGCAGCUCCGCUCCUGCUCACACACUUAGGUUACUUCUAAGUUACAGCUACUUUUUGUUGCAGACCAUUUGUAUUUUUAUUUUUUAACAUAUUAAAUUACAAUCUAAUAAUAUUCUAGUUUAUACUUUGAUAGUCUGAUCAUAUGUUUCUUUUGAUGAGUAAGAGACUUACUAUGACCUCUUGACAAGUUUUACAAUUUUCCCUCCUCCUAUUGAGAUUUCGGAGCAAAAAAAAAAAAAAAAUCCACCAAUAUUUUUGGAAAAAUAAAUGUAUUAUGGAUUAGAUGGCUAAUGUCAGUCUUAUUUGCGCUUCUUUAACUUAAGUAACACCCUUUUGCAGCCUUCCCAACAAGGGUGCUGAUACUUACCCUAAGUCAAACCCCGGACAUUAGCGAAUGACACAUUUUUUUAUAAAAAUUACAACACAAUUUUAGUUUGGAUCUUUAUAGAAAUUAAAAAAACAAAAACUCAUUUUCCUUAACACAAUUCAAAAGCAACAAAACUCAAUAUACUGCUGCGAGUAACCAACCGUGGCCAAGCCACGAAUCCCACUGUACCACUGCGAGCAGUCAUAUUCAAGCCACGACGUUUAAAAUGUCUGUGCCUAGCUGUUCUAGCCACUGCUACUCGUGUAAGUUGAACUUGGGAUUUUAAAUAUUUUCUGGAAUUUUAUGAUUGAAUUUAUUAUAGACUAAUUCAGAGUGUUAUUAGCAUAAGAAAUCUCAUGGGAGUUCAAGAGAAGUUUCUUGUGCUCAUAAAAUAAUUGGGAUAAUUAAUUAAUAAAACCAAGAAAUUGCAUACUUUUAUGUUGUUAUUUUGCAGUAGUUAUUUUAAAUAUGAUUUGAAAAAAAAUUGAUGUAGUAAUGGAGAAUUUGGAACAAGUGGAUCAAGUCAAAGAAUUGGAGGAAUUGGAGGCAUUAGACGAGUCUGAUUUAUAAGAAAAUAUUGAGUAAUUCGAGGAGACCGAAUUUGAUAACAAUGAAGAUGUGAAAGAAAAAGUUGCUAAGCCUCAGGUUGGGGUGUGAAAGAAAAAGUAGCAGUGGCAAUGGUUGAUUUUGGGGUGCCGCUUUGUAAGUGGCCGUGGUUGUCGCGUGGUGGCUGUAGGCAGUGGCAGUGACAAUGGCUGUGGUGUGGUGGUUUGGGUGAUUUUGGGAGAGUGCUUGUGCUAUGUGACUCUGGGGAGUAUACUUUCUGCUUUGUGGUUGUCAUUCACAACCAUAAAGAAUAAGAAAGUUUUUUAUUUUAUUUUAUUUUGAUAUUGCUAAAGUUAGACGGUGCAUUUUCAUCCCAACAAUAACUUUUGUAAAAUUCUUCGUUUUGCGUUGUUUUACCUCUUAGUUUUUUCUGUUUGUAUUGUUUGCAUUUUUAUAUGCUACUUUUAUCUCUCUCUCUCUCUCUCUCUACAAGGUAAUUAGGAUCAUUACAUACUCCUCUUAUUUAAAUGUUUUUUUUCCACUUUACUUUAAUAAACUUCCCUUGUAGAGUUAAGAUUUCACUAAAAAAUUACUAAUAUUUAUAGUCUGAAAUUUGUUGUGGUUUUGUCUUGAUAAUUGUUUUUUUAACGCAAUAAGAUUUUGUCUCUAAUACUUCGAAGGAAGUUUUAAUAACAUAUACACAAAAGAGAAUGUAUUACCUUACUAAUGGCGGGUGAUUGCCAAGUCAAUAAAACCAUUAUUUGUAAGUGCUAUUUCACACUUAUUAUAUAAACAUUAACUUAUUAACUAAAAAAGUUAUGAGUAGAUUUCUUUGUUUCUCCCUCCACUCGAUACAACGGUAGCAAUGUUUAAGCACUGGGAACUUGCCAAACUUUAUUAAAGAGAAAUCUCGCAUUGAAUUAUUUGCAUAAUCAACGUAGAUUCAAAUAAUUGGGCUCCCUAAUGGGCCAAUUGGGUUCCUCAAUGAGCCUCAAAUGGUCGAAGAUAUUUGUUAGGUCCAACUCUGUAGAAGUUCGGGCAAAUCAUAUGCCAUCCAAUAUUCCAAAUCCUUUGAAAAAAGCAAAGGGUUAGACUACUGACACCCUUCCAAUUUGGGGUAUACAAGAUAUAUACAAUUGAAUUCAACUCAAUCAAAUCAAUUAAUCCAACUUAAAUUAAUCUAAUUUUAUCGGACUGACUUUUUAAUUAGAUUAGAUUAUAUUAGAUUAGAUUAGAUUACAAAAUAGAAUAUCUAAUGUUAUUAUAUUGGUAAAUGGAUCUAUGUGUUAAAAUCUAAUAUAAACUAUUCUAACCAACUGAUUCUCAUUUUCUUUCUCUAUUUUUUAAAAAGGUUACGUGGC